rnacentral:rRNA from 2 species
AUUUGCCAAGUAUGUUCCCGUUAAUCAAGAACGAAAGUUAGAGGUUCGAAGGCGAUCAGAUACCGCCCUAGUUCUAACCAUAAACGAUGCCAGCCAGCGAUCCGCCGAAGUUCCUCCGAUGACUCGGCGGGCAGCUUCCGGGAAACCAAAGCUUUUGGGUUCCGGGGGAAGUAUGGUUGCAAAGCUGAAACUUAAAGGAAUUGACGGAAGGGCACCACCAGGAGUGGAGCCUGCGGCUUAAUUUGACUCAACACGGGAAACCUCACCAGGCCCGGACACCGGAAGGAUUGACAGAUUGAGAGCUCUUUCUUGAUUCGGUGGGUGGUGGUGCAUGGCCGUUCUUAGUUGGUGGAGCGAUUUGUCUGGUUAAUUCCGGUAACGAACGAGACUCUAGCCUGCUAAAUAGACGAUUUCCGGUAUCCACAAUAGUGCUACCGGCGAAAUCAAUAUCUUCUUAGAGGGACAGGCGGCUUUCAGCCGCACGAAACUGAGCAAUAACAGGUCUGUGAUGCCCUUAGAUGUCCUGGGCCGCACGCGCGCUACACUGAAGGAAUCAGCGUGUAUACCCUGGCCGAAAGGCUCGGGCAACCCGUUGAACCUCCUUCGUGCUAGGGAUUGGGGCUUGCAAUUGUUCCCCAUGAACGAGGAAUUCCCAGUAAGCGCGAGUCAUAAGCUCGCGUUGAUUACGUCCCUGCCCUUUGUACACACCGCCCGUCGCUACUACCGAUUGAAUGAUUUAGUGAGGUCUUCGGACUGGUGCGCGGCGGCCGCAUCCGCGGCCGCCGAUGCCACCGGGAAGAUGACCGAACUUGAUCAUUUAGAGGAAGUA